rnacentral:rRNA from 1 species
CGAAAGCCUGACGGAGCAACGCCGCGUGAGGGACGAAGGCCUCUGGGCUGUAAACCUCUUUUCUCAAGGAAGAAGAUAUGACGGUACUUGAGGAAUAAGCCACGGCUAAUUCCGUGCCAGCAGCCGCGGUAAUACGGGAGUGGCAAGCGUUAUCCGGAAUUAUUGGGCGUAAAGCGUCCGCAGGCGGCCUUUCAAGUCUGCUGUUAAAGCGUGGAGCUUAACUCCAUCAUGGCAGCGGAAACUGAUCGGCUCGAGUAUGGUAGGGGCAGAGGGAAUUCCCGGUGUAGCGGUGAAAUGCGUAGAUAUCGGGAAGAACACCAGUGGCGAAGGCGCUCUGCUGGGCCAUUACUGACGCUCAUGGACGAAAGCCAGGGGAGCGAAAG